AACAGAAUAGGCAAACGUGAAGCAGGGAAGGAAAGAAAGAAAGAAAGAAAGAAAGGAGAAAAGAAAGAAAAAAAAGGAGAAAAUUUAAGGUUUGAAGCUUUAAAGUUUAAUAGGUAAGUCAAUUUAGUCCUUUUUACUUAAUUUUGAUAUUUUAGAAGCUUUGGAACAAGAUUUUGAUGAAAUUAAGUUGAUAUUUUGAAAGUUAUUAGAUUUCUAGAUAAUGUUCAUGUUGAGUAAAAUGAUGAAAUAAGGGUUAAAUUGAUAGAAAUUCAAGUUUGAAAUGAAAUAAGGAUUGAAUUGUAAAGUAAUUCAUAAGUUUUAUGUUGAAGGGCUAAUUUGAGGAAAUUUUGAAACUAGUGAAAUAAGCUGAAAAUUUAGUAGUUAAAUUUGAGUUUGGAUGGAACUUGAAUAGAAAUAGAGUAUGAAUUAAGUUAGUAAAGUGAAUGAAUUAGUUAGGACCUAAUUGAAAAUAAGGUGUAAAUUGAAUAGAAAUUUAAUUAUUUGUUAUAAUGAGUGCUGAAAAUUAAUGGUAUAAUUAUUUUAAUUCCCGUAGCUAAUGUUGUCUCGGGAAAUCUCGGCUAAGCAAAGAAAAAGACAAAGACAACGGGAGUUAGCUCGGAAAUUACGGUUUGUAUUUCAAUAAUCCGAACUUAAUUCUUAAAUUGUUGGAUUUAUUAUUUAAUAUAUAGAUGUAGUAGGUGUUUUGAGAUGAUUAUUUGAAUUGGAUUGAAUAUUCAUUAUAUUGAAUUGAUUUAUGAAUAUAUGUGAAAUUUUGAAUUGAAAUGAAUAUUGAUGUGGAAAUUGAAUAAUAAAUAUUUCUUAUGUUGGAAAAUAUAUGUAGUUGGAAGGGUGAUGAAAUUGAUAGAAAACUGUGAUUAUUGUGAAAUUGAAUAUUUAUUAGUGAAAAGUGAAUGGAAUUAUAUUGAAUUGAAAAUAUAUAGUUAAUUAAUUAAAAUAUGAAUUAAUUGAAAACUGAAAAGUGAAUUAAAUACAAUAUUAACUAGUUGGGCUAGUUGGAUAUAGUUAGCAUGCCAUAGGAUAUGGAAGAGUACGGGUUUUGUUGGCUUACUGAUCAGACACUUAUGUGCUGACUAUUGUUACUGUUACCGUUACUGUUACCGAUUCGGCACUUUGUGUGUCAGAUGUUGUUACUGUUAUCGUUACUGAUAUUGUUUUGGAUUUGUUCCGAUGAGGUACUCCGUGUACCGUACUGUUACUGUUACUAUUCCAACUUCGACCGAUGAGGCACUAUGUGCCGUACUGGUGUGUUCGUUGGAUCCGUGUAUCCGUCUAGGUCCAAGUCAUCUUAAUAGGGAUAAAUAAAGGAACUGGAAAGAUCGACUGUUACUGAAUAAUUUAAUUGUUACUAUGUAUCUGAUUUUUACUGAAUAAUUGACUGUUACUGGAUAACCGAUCAAUUGAUUGAUACUGAAUAACUGAUUAUUAUUGAAUAAUUGAUUGUUACCGAAUAACUGACUGUUACUAAAUAAAUAAUUGUUCUGAUUGACUGAUUGUUAAUGAAUAUUACUGAUUGAUUAAUUGCUAUUGAAAAAUAAUAAAUGAUUUUAAAUUUAAAGAAGACUAAAACAUUGGUUGGAAAGUGAAUGUUUGAAUACUCAGUGAAUUUGAAUAGUUCAAUAUAUAUAAAUUCAUAUGUUUUAUAAUUGUUUAAGUGUUCAGAUUAUAGAAAUACCACUGAGUGUAUACUCAGCGUACGGUUUGUUUCUGUGCGCAGGUUAAGUUAAGGCUAGAUUGUUGAAUCAGCAUCCCAGGCCGAUCUCGAAUUCUAUGAGGUAAAGUAUGUUGAGUAUUGGUAAUGGCAUGUACCUAAGAUGUCUUAUGAGAGUCAUCUAGGUUGUGAAAGUAUUGAUGAAAUAAGUAAAUUAUGGUUGGCAAUGGGAUAUAGUAUGAAGUUCAAAUAAUUGAUAAAGUAAGUGAUAUACUUAAAAAGAUUUAUUGGAUAUGUUAUAAAAUGUUUUAGAUUGGUAAGGUUUGAGUAUAUUUAAGUAUAUUUGGAUUAUCUGAAUGUUGGUAAAUUGUAUUGGUUGAAGUUUUAAUUUCCAGGGUUAGAAACAUUUAUUUUAAUAAAUGAGUAUAAUUGAACUGAACAGACCGGUAAUGCUCUGUAAUACUAUUCUAGGGACGGAUAAGGGUUAGAGGGUAUUACAUAUGUGGCACUUAGUGUGCAAGAAUCCCGAGUAUCCGACAUUAUUAUUCUGAGUGGUUCACGGGUAUGUCAAAGAUGAUACUAUGUGUAAAUUCAUUUCGAGAUGGCUCAGGUCUGUACAUAAAGCUCAUGCUUAUUAAAUGUGUGACAUGGUGAAUAUGAGGUAAGUUUUGUGAUAGAAUAGAUUAUGAUCAUGAAAUUAUGGUAGGUUUACAUUAAUUAUGUUAUAUUAUUUGAAUGUUAUGUGCAUGGUAACGAUUGCUUAUUUCUUGUAUGCGAGCUUACCAAGCUAUAUAGCUUACUCCGUUUAUUUUCUAUGUUUUUAUAGUGUCACCAAGCUAGCUCGGAAUAGGAGAUCGUUGGAGAUUCGCCUCACACUAUCAGA
rnacentral:lncRNA from 1 species